UACAGGGGGUGCAAACGUUGCUCGGAAUUAUUGGGCGUAAAGGGCGCGUAGGCGGUUCGGCAAGUCUUCAGUGAAAUCUCUGGGCUCAACUCAGAGUCUGCUGGGGAAACUGCCGGGCUUGAGUGUGGGAGAGGAGAGUGGAAUUCCUGGUGUAGCGGUGAAAUGCGUAGAUAUCAGGAGGAACACCUGAGGCGAAAGCGGCUCUCUGGACCACAACUGACGCUGAGGCGCGAAAGCUAGGGGAGCAAACAGG
rnacentral:rRNA from 1 species